GCAGAGCACUCUACGGGAGGCAGCAGUGGGGAAUAUUGCACAAUGGGCGCAAGCCUGAUGCAGCCAUGCCGCGUGUAUGAAGAAGGCCUUCGGGUUGUAAAGUACUUUCAGCAGUGAGGAAGGUGGGUAUGUUAAUAGCAUAUUCAUUUGACGUUAGCUGCAGAAGAAGCACCGGCUAACUCCGUGCCAGCAGCCGCGGUAAUACGGAGGGUGCGAGCGUUAAUCGGAAUUACUGGGCGUAAAGCGCAUGCAGGUGGUUUGUUAAGUCAGAUGUGAAAGCCCGGGGCUCAACCUCGGAAUUGCAUUUGAAACUGGCAAACUAGAGUACUGUAGAGGGGGUAGAAUUUCAGGUGUAGCGGUGAAAUGCGUAGAGAUCUGAAGGAAUACCGGUGGCGAAGGCGGCCCCCUGGACAGAUACUGACACUCAGAUGCGAAAGCGUGGGGAGCAAACAGGAUUAGAUACCCUGGUAG
rnacentral:rRNA from 1 species